GACAAAAAAAACCCCAAUCCCCCUAAAAUUGUCCAUCGUCUUCUCAGCUUCUAACUUCGUCCAAUCUCCGUUACCCAACCUCCUCUACAAUCAAACGUUUGCUUCAAUCUCCUCUUAACGGUUUCCUUUCACCUCCCCUCUUUCUCAUUCUUUAUAUACUGUUUUUUUCUUUCUCUUCUACAAACCAAAACCCUAGAACCUGCUCUAUUUAAGCUCAAGCCAUGGCGAUCAAAACAAACGGCAAGUUCCCUGUCUCCUCUGCCAAUGAUCAAGGAGUUAUGUUCUUCAAAAAUAUCUCACCAGGUCCCACAAAACCCAGUUACACUACCUAUCUGAACCCAAUAAAAAGAUCCUUAUUGGUCUGGAAAUGCACCUCAUCGACGAACAGGAGAAAUGUAUAUGUAAACAUGAUUGAUUUGAGAUUACUGAACUGGUCACUCCACCACCAUCUCUAAUAGCUGGAGUAGAAAAGGAUAUUGGGAGAUUUAUACAUCUAAAAUUACGGUGGUGUUCACUAAAACGUCUUUGUUUGCAUGCCAAAGAGUAUUGUGUUUGUUUAUUUGCUUAUAUGGUUCAGGUGUACUAUAUUUAGCUCUGAUUUCUAUAAAAUUCUUAGUUGUCUGGAAUUUCCUUGCAGUUCUUCAACUAAUGUUGCUCAUAUUUUGGUUAGUAUCAGGUACCUCAAUAUUGGGUUUCGUCUUUCUUUAUUUAUGUGAAGUUACAUUGGUAUGCCUUAAAUUAUCUGCAUAGUUUACUCGCUUUUACCCGCAGAUGAGAGAUUGGAUUUAGGUGACAGUGAACCAGGGUUUGAUGCUGAUCAUGAAUAUGGUGAAGGGGAGUUUGAAGAGAGAGAAUUGAAGCAGUAGGAACAUGGGUUGGUUAAUCAGAUGGAUGAAAAACUUGAGGAGGGAACAGAGGCCGAUGAAAAUGCAGGUGAGUUUACCGACGACAUUGGGAGGAGCUAGAGUGUCAAAGUAGUUAUGUGCAUGCUUAUGAUGAAAUUAAGCGUGGAGAAGCUGUUGAUGUGUAAGAAGAAAGAGAAGAUCAUCAUGAUGUUCUCCAUGACAGACGCUCGCUUAAGGAGUUUGAAAUAUUUGUUAGAAGCUUGGACAAAAGUACUACGGAAGAAGUUUUGAGAAAGUGUUUGUCCUGUGGCGCAGUGACUGAAAUAAAAUGAGGAUUAUAAUGAAAUGCAAGGGUUAUGAUUAGGCAAAAAAUGAGAUAUCCAAUAGUAAUCUUCUAUACUUAAGUAUUAGAUCGAGAGUUUGUGUAACUUUAUAGUGUACAUAAUGCUCUUGGUCAUCGUAUGUUCAACCAGUAUGUAUAAGGAUUGACCAUAUUUAGGCAAGCCUAUGCAUGGAUUUACCAUAUAUUAUCAAAUCUGAUGUUCUUUUAUUC